AAUAUCCAUGGGUAAAACUGUCAGUGUGACAAUGCUUUUGACUACUGGGGGAAAGGAACCAUGGUCACUGUCUCGUCAGCUCAACCAUCUGCGCCAAAGUCAGUCUUCGCCAUGUCUCAGUGUACUUCUGAUUCUGAUGAGUUCAUCGCCGUCGGCUGCUUGGCAAGAGGUUUCUCACCUGCGGACUCGCUUACAAUCAAAUGGAAGGAUGCUGCUGGCAAAGAGUUGAGUGAUUUCGUGCAGUAUCCGGCGUUCGGUCCGGAUGGAGACUAUACCAAAAUCAGCCAUAUGAGCGUGAGAAAAAGCGAAUGGGAUCCUAAAAAACCUUACAAAUGCGAAGCCUCAAAUUCUCAAGGCACAUUAGAAUCUCCUGUUGCUCCACCAUCCCCACCACCAAAAAGCAAAACUGAAGCUAAAUUUGAACUGACACUGAAGCCAAUUCAGAGAGAAAUAUUUGUAAAUAAUAAAGUUGUCUUGGAAGCAGUUUUUUCUGGAAAAAUUCAAAAAGCUUCAGUGUCUUGCUCAAUGAAAGGAAUCGAUGUGGGACCAGGAAACAUUGAGUCUUCUAAUGACAUUUCACAGUCAUUCAAAGUCACUGUCGAUACAAACAAAUGGUUUGAUGGUGAAGAGGUCACCUGCAGUGACAGAAAUAACAAAGACAUCAAGCAGACGAUCCGUUUUGAUAAAGGAGAUGGAAAGAAACCCAAUGUUACCAUUUACAAACCUGAUAGCAUUGGCACAGGUCCUGUCUCUCAUGUGUGCGAGGUCACCAGCCCUAAACUCGGCGAUGUUUAUAUCAUGUGGAAAGUGGAUGGAGACCCUUACAUAGAGGGCACAACCAGUGCUCCCAUCAAAAAAAAUGACUCCACGUCUGUUCUCAGCAUCCUAACAAUGUCAAAAGAAAAGUAUGAAAAUCUCAAAACAACAAUCAACUGCGCAGUCAUACAUGCCAGCAUGGACAAUAUAAGAUCUCCAUUACAAAAGUCAACAAGCAAAAGUAAAUUGCCAGAGUGUCCAUUAAACUAUGACUCUUAAUUAUCUGUUGUUCAUUUGUACGUUUGCCAGUGCUUUUGUCCUGUUGCUCAUUUGUCAGAUUAUGUAUCUUCACUGUUGUCGUUUGUGCAUAUUUCUGUCUGUAUCACUUUACUGCAUGGCUCUAACAUCAAAGUGAAAUUACACUCAAGGCUAUAUGUUUCAUUUGAUAUUUACUUACAUGUUGUUUGUAAGUAAAUAUGGUCACAUGAAAACAUUGUCAGAAAAAUAUCAUAGAACUUGUUUGUCUUUUGUUCUGUGCUUACUGUACUGCUGUUAGCCUCUAAUACAACAUGCAAUUUUUGCCUUUUUACAAGCAAUAAAUAUUUGUGUUUGCAUGAUUUA